UCAUCACCCCUGAAUUAUUUGCCCAUUCCACGGUCUUUGCGUUAUUUCUCACUUUCUACCCUAUUUUAAGAGCCAAGUUCCCGAUUCAUCAAAAAUAAAAAUAAAAAUAGAGCCAAGUUCCCUCUAGGAAGUAAAAAUCCUUUGUUCUCAACAGCCACUUCGCUCUCUUGCUCCCUUGCUCAGAUCCCUAACUAUUUGAGUAAAAGAAUGCGGCCAAGAAAUAAGAUGAACCACAGAAGAAGAAAGAAAAUGAGUCCAAGAGAGUUCUUCAGUGCCAAUCUAAAGCACAUGCAGAUCAAAAGUUGGAAUGGGUGAAUUUGGCAAAAAGAAUGCAAGGAUGGAUUAUUUUGCUUGGCACUCAUAUGGAGAUGUUCCUACUAGUUGACCCGGAAAUUUUAGCCAUGUAUAGCUAUCUGGUUUCUCAGUGGAAUGGAUUUUGCUUUAUAAUUCAUCCUUCACCAUGUUUACUAGAUUUAAUACCAUAUGUUCAGUAUGGCACUUCUGUUGCUUUUCAUCAUAAUUUGGGUGUAGCUAUCCAAAAACUGAAGGACACUGGAUAGUCUGGAUUAGAUUUGGACUGUGGACUAGUCAAGGAGCCCUUUUAUGAAGAUCUAGAAUUCAGAACAAAAUUCCUUUAUGGUUUGUUAUCAAGCACUUAAUUUGACCUUCGAAAUGGAUGACCAAGCAUAGGAGAUAAGAGAUAACUAGCAAUAAAGAUAGACUCAAUUGGGUAGAAUUAUGAGACUUUACUAAGUUUUGUUUAUUUUUUAAAAGUUCUGGGUGGACAAAUUUGUAGUUUUUGUAGAGAAAGUGCUCUUAAUAAUUGAAAAUAAUCUCAAUAGAUUAUCAACAAAUUGUUUUCCUAA